GGGAAUGGCCAGGUCAGGAUCCCUGGGAUUCCCAACUGGAAUUCCCAGCCGGAAUUCCCAACUGGAAUUCCCUUGGGAAAAGCUUUGGGUGGGAAAGCGCCCUGGGAAUUUCUGCCUGGAAUUGGGGGGGAAUUUUCUCUGGGAAUUUGUGGGAAUUGUGGGAAUUUCCUGUGGGAAUUGUGGGAAUUUUGUCAAGGAAUUUCCUCUGGGAAUUGCGGGGAAUUCAUCAGGAAUUGGGGAGGAUUUCCUUGGGGAAUUUCAUCCAGGAAUUUUUAGGAAAAUUUGGAAAAAUUUGAGAAAAAAAACUGGGAAAUUUUGAGAAAAUUUGGGACAAAACUCUGGGAAAAAUUUGAGAAAAUUUGAGAAAAAUCAGGAAAAUUUGAGAAAAAUCAGGAAAAUUUGAGAAAAUUUGGGAAAAUCUGAGAAAAUUUGGGAAAAAAACUCUGGGAAAAAUUUGAAAAAAAUUGAAAAAAUUGGGAAAAAUUGAGAAAAAAAUUUUGCAAAAUUUGAGAAAAAAAUGGGGAAAAUUUGGGAAAAAACCUGGGAAAAAUUUAAGAAAAUUUGAGAAAAAUGGGGAAAAUUUGGGGAAAUCUGGGAAUCUUGAGCUCGGUUGUGUCCAGUUGAGCCGUUCCCUUUCAUCCCUUUCCCAACUUUUCCCGAGGAUUUUUGGGAUGGGCCCAGCUGGGAUCGCCGCUGAGGGCGGGGAAUCGAUCCAAGGAAAAUCAAAACCCUUGGACUGGAUCCCAGGGAUUCCAUUCCCAGGAAUUCCGGUCAUUCCCGGUGUUUUCCAGGCCAUGUCCGUGCCGGGAAUUCUGGGAUCGCUGCUCCAAGAGGAGGAAAAAUUUUCCUCGUGCCUGGCCCGGCUCGACGCCCUCAUCCUCAAACCUCUGCUCCAGAACCCAACGAUCCGAAGGAAAAAGAGAAUUUCCAGCUCUUGGUGCUGCUCAACGAUCGCUUCCAAGCCCUCUGGAAUUUCACGGAGGAGAAUUCCCGGAUACUGA
rnacentral:lncRNA from 1 species